GAGCCAUGAUGUAAAUCAAUAUUACCCUGAACUGAAGUAUAUUUUCAAUAUAUUUCAUGAUGGUUUAUACACUUGAACUGAGCUCU
rnacentral:snoRNA from 1 species